UUUUUGAAUAAGACGAACGGUCAAACAUGUAAUAAAAAAUCAACGAUGUCAAAUAUUUAGAAACAGAGUGAGUAUUAUAAUAUUAGAACAUAUGAUCAACUACCUCUUUUCAUUUAUGCUUACAAUUAAGCUAAAAUUUCAAUUCUAAAAUUUAAUUUUGAAGGUGACUUUAUGAUAUUUUUCAUCGUAGUUUAUUUUACAGUAUUUUAUUUUAAAUCGUUAAAAAUAUGUAUAUAAAAAUUUUAUUCAUAAAUUAUUUAUUGGUUCUACUAAUAAACCAUAAUUAAGGAUAAGUAUAAGCAAAAUGAUGGAGCUGGUUAGUAGUGAGUACUGAGUAGCUCAUUUAUUUUCUCAGUUUGCUUGUAGGAAUGAGGCUAGUGCAGUGUGGAGAUUUUUUUUCCAUGAUUUUGUAAAAUUGGCUGUGAGCUAAGACUGUGCUGCUAUUUCCUAAUUAAUAAAGCACUCCCCUUAAAAAAUAUAUGAAAGACUUAUAUGUCAGUGGUAAUUACCGGCUUACCGCAGACAAUACCUAGCUGCAUGAUAAUUCUCUUUGAUUUGAUGUAAGGGAUAAGUGGACCAAUCUAAAAACCUAUAUACCGGGUUAUCCAUCUAUUUAUAUUAUAAAAUAAGUGGGUUCGUGAGCCGGUUCGUUUGCAUGAUGGGCUAAUCUUCAAUAUCCUGCACAUAUAUUUCUCGAGCCAAAUUGAUGGAUGUCAGAUCUGUGAUGGCAUACACCGCAUUGAAUGGUGUACGUGGAUGGGGAGAGCUCAUCGGCUGCUAGCAAAGCAUGCAGCUGACUCGGUCCUCUUUUUUCUUCUUCAGACUGGUUGGUAGGAUUGUGAUCAGGAGGAAGAUUAGCUUAGCUAGCUUUUAAUUUCUUUCUCUCUUGCUGCAUUUAGGGCUUCGAUUGACCACUUGCCGCCCAAUCUGAUUGAACAAGUCAGCCAUCUCUGGCGCAAGGAACGCAUGCGCCUACACAUUUUCUUUUAUUAUAAUCCAAAUUUAAAUUUUUAAAAUUAAUUUAAUUUUAUAGUUUAUUAGGUUCUUUUUAUCUUAAUCUAUUUUCUAGCUUUGGCUCUCAAUAGCUAGUAAUGCAAAUAUAAAGGUUUUAUUCAUAAAUUAUUUUUGGUUGCUUCGUUUUUUUCUUAUCAGUCGUAGUCCAACACCCUUGAGUGUUUAGUAUUCCCUUCGCUCCAAAAUAUGAGGGGUUCUAAUGCGCGCACGCUGACAGAUUAAGUUGUGUGCCCCUUUCUCUCACCUUAUCCAUUCUAUUCCCUUCUCUCUCUCACCUUAUCCAUUUCUUCCCCUCCCUUCCUCUCCCCUCCCCUCCUCUCAUUCUUUCUCUACGCCAACAGUGAGCGACGAGUCUCCAGCGAUUGUGACGGACCUCCAGUGAGCCCUCUCCUUUUCCCUCCCGCGAACUGCUCUAACGGAGAAGAGGACACGCAGUCGAGCAAUGACAGCGGCGACGGCAAGCGGAGCAGGUUAGGGCGACAGACAAAGCCCUUUGAUUUACGAUGGAUCGAAUCAUCAAAUGCAAGUAGCUGUUUUGUGAUUGAACUAAGUACUGUACUGAUGGACUGAUGUGUGUUGCUGUUCUGUGAUGACUGAUGAAUGAUGAUUGAUGAACUAUGUACUGAUGAUGGAGUGAUAGCUCAUAGCAGAUUAGCAGUAUAGCACUGAAUAAUAGUGUAUAUUGUAUACCUUGUACCAUGGUUUUUUGCUGUAAUUUUUUUAGAAUAUUUGUUAUGCAAAUUAUAUGAAGUUAUAGAGGAAUAUAUUUUGUU